rnacentral:rRNA from 2 species
CGCUGAAUUUAAGCAUAUAAAUAAGCGGAGGAAAAGAAACUAACAAGGAUUCCCCUAGUAACGGCGAGUGAAGCGGGAUGAGCUCAAGCUUAAAAUCUCUGCGCGAGUUUCGCGUGGCGAAUUGUAGUCUAUAGAAGCGCUGUCAGUGCGGCCGGUCGAGGCAAGUUCCUUGGAAGAGGACAGCAUGGAGGGUGAUACUCCCGUGAUUCCUUGGCAGGCCCGCACGUACGACACGUUUUCUGGGAGUCGCGUUGUUUGGGAAUGCAGCGCAAAGUAGGUGGUAAAUUCCAUCUAAAGCUAAAUAUUGGUGCGAGACCGAUAGCGAACAAGUACCGUGAGGGAAAGAUGAAAAGAACUUUGAAAAGAGAGUUAAAGAGUACCUGAAACUGCUGAAAGGGAACCGAAUCGUUUCCAGUGUCUAUAAUCGUGAACAUAUUUCAUUGUGAAGUAUGCACGCGUGGUGUUUUGACAGCGGCUUUUGUUGCGUCUGAUACUUCGUUGUGUGUGCUUGGCGGUGCCCUGUGUUCACGUGUGACGUCAAAGUCAGUUCGUAUGCUGCGGGAAAUGGCUGUCGAGGAGGUAGGUCAUAUGCUUGCGUGUGGCUAUUAUAUCUCGGCAUGCUAGUUGUCGUGGUUGGGACUGAGGUGCUUACAACGUGCUGUAAAGUGCUACGAUGUCUUGCGUGGUCGGCUGUUUGGAUCGCUUGCGAUGCUUGUGGCUUUGUAUUGUGUGAUUGAUGUUGUGGUCAACUUUUGCCGUUCGGGACUUUGACGAAAUGGAGCGAUCCGUCCCGUCUUGAAACACGGACCAAGGAGUCUAACAYGUGUGCAAGUGUUUGGGUGUGGAAACCCGAGCGCGCAAUGAAAGUAAAGGGCAGCGCUGGUUGUCUGAGGUAGGAAAUGCUUGACUUGUCAGGUAUGGCACUAUCGACCGAUCAUGAACCUUCGUGGUGAAAGAUUUGAGUUUGAGCACAUAUGUUGGUACCCGAAAGAUGGUGAACUAUGCCUGAGUAGGGUGAAGCCAGGGGAAACUCUGGUGGAAGCUCGAAGCGAUUCUGACGUGCAAAUCGAUCGUCAAACUUGGGUAUAGGGGCGAAAGACUAAUCGAACCAUCUAGUAGCUGGUUCCCUCCGAAAUUUCCCUCAGGAUAGCAGCAGCUUUUUUCGAUAGUUUUAUGAGGUAAAGCGAAUGAUUAGAGGACUCGGGGAAGAAACUUCCUUGACCUAUUCUCAAACUUUAAAUCUGUAAGACCUGCAGGUUUCUUAAUUGAACUUGCGGAUGUGAAUAUCAAGUUGCUAGUGGGCCAUACGGGGUAAGCUCGUCUGGCG